rnacentral:tRNA from 1 species
UAUAUAUAAGUGUAAAGAAGCACAAAAAUUUUUGAUAUUUUUAGAGAUAGUUUAAUUCUAUUAUAUAUAA